rnacentral:rRNA from 1 species
CAAUAGCGUAUAUUAAAGUUGUUGCGGUAAAAAAGCUCGUAGUUGGAUUUCUACCGAAGAUAGCCGGUCGGGUCUUCGACCUUGUAUCUGGUUUUGUCUUUGGUAUCCUCAUGGGGAACGUUUCUGCGCUUUAUUGCGUGGUGCGGUAUCUAUGACUUUUACUUUGAGGAAAUUAGAGUGUUCACGGCAGGCAAACGCCUUGAAUAUAUUAGCAUGGAAUAAUAACAUAGGAUCUUCGUCCUAUUUUGUUGGUUUCUAGGGCUAAGAUAAUGAUUAAUAGGGAUAAUUGGGGGCAUCUGUAUCAACGCGUCAGAGGUGGAAUUCUUGGAUUGCGUUGCGACAAACUACUGCGAAAGCAUUUGCCAAGGAUGUUUUCAUUGA